rnacentral:rRNA from 1 species
UUGAUGAAAUAAAUGAAAUGGAACACCUUGGAAAAUGUGAUCAUAGAGGGUGAUAAUCCCGUACAUGCAAGUUUAUGAAUCAUAGCAGACUCCUGAGUAAGUCGGGACACGUGUAAUCCUGACCGAAUCCGCCGGGACCAUCCGGCAAGGCUAAAUACUCCUGAGAGACCGAUAGUGAACCAGUACCGUGAGGGAAAGGUGAAAAGCACUUCGAACAGAAGAGUGAAAUAGUUCCUGAACCCAUACGCCUACAAGCUGUCGGAGCCGCUUCGUGCGGUGACGGCGUGCCUUUUGCAUAAUGAGCCUACGAGUUACUCAUCACCAGCGAGGUUAAGUACUUCAGGUACGUAAGCCGAAGCGAAAGCGAGUCUGAAUAGGGCGUCAAGUUGGUGGUGGUAGACGCGAAACCUUAGUGAUCUACCCAUGGGCAGGGUGAAGGUUUGGUAACACAAACUGGAGGCCCGAACCGGUAAACGUUGAAAAGUUUUCGGAUGACCUGUGGGUAGGGGUGAAAGGCCAAUCAAACUGGGAAAUAGCUCGUACUCUCCGAAAUGCAUUUAGGUGCAGCCUCUGUUGUUUUGUUCUAGAGGUAAAGCUACUGAUUGGAUGCGAGGGCUUCACCGCCUAUCAAAUCCGGCCAAACUCCGAAUGCUAGAACAUGAAGACAGGGAGUGAGCCAGCGGGUGCUAAGGUCCGUUGACGAAAGAGGGAGAACUCAGACCAUCAGCUAAGGUCCCCAAUUAUAUGCUAAGUUGGAAUAAAAACGGGGUGGGACUGCUUAGACAGCUAGGAUGUUGGCUUGGAAGCAGCCAUUCAUUUAAAGAGUGCGUAACAGCUCACUAGUCGAGCGGUCCUGCAUGGAUAAUACGCGGGCAUAAGCAUAUAACCGAAGCUAUGGGAUUGUAGAUGAUACAAUCGGUAGGAGAGCAUUCCAUUCAGCAUAGAAGCAGUACCGUGAGGUAUUGUGGAGCGGAUGGAAAAGCAAAUGUAGGCAUAAGUAACGAUAAUGCGGGUGAGAACCCCGCACGCCGAAAGAUCAAGGAUUCCCCGGCAAUGUCAAUCAUCCGGGGGUAAGUCGGAUCCUAAGGGUAAGCCGAGUGGCGAUCCCGAUGGUAAACAGGUUAAUAUUCCUGUACUGAUCAUAACUGCGAUGCAGCGACGCAGAGGUGACACUGCUGCGUACUGACGGAAUAGUACGUUGAAACCCGUAUUCUUUGAUACCGGUAGUGAAGCACGCCGGUAGAGAUGAAAGGUGAUAGUACCGCAAUGCUUCGGUUGCGCGGAUAAUGCAGGUAAGCUGACUGCCAAGAAAACCUGCUAAGCUUCAGGUAAUGAUCAUCCGUACUGUAAACGGACACACGUGAUCAGGUAGAAAAUACUAAGGCGCUCGAGAGAUUCAUGGUUAAGGAACUAGGCAAAAUGGUCCUGUAACUUCGGGAUAAAGGACGCUCUUGUGAAAGAGCCGCAGAUAAUAGGCCCAGGCGACUGUUUACCAAAAACACAUGGCUAUGCUAAUUCGCAAGAAGAUGUAUAUGGCCUGACACCUGCCCGGUGCCGGAAGGUUAAGAGGAGAGCUCAGAUGUAAGUCGAAGGUUUGAAUUGAAGCCCCGGUAAACGGCGGCCGUAACUAUAACGGUCCUAAGGUAGCGAAAUUCCUUGUCGGGUAAGUUCCGACCUGCACGAAUGGUGUAACGAUCUGGGUACUGUCUCAACCAUGAGCUCGGUGAAAUUGUAGUUCCGGUGAAGAUGCCGGAUACCCGCAACGGGACGGAAAGACCCCGUGAACCUUUACUGCAGCUUUGCAUUGAUUUUGGGUAACAGAUGUGUAGGAUAGGUCGGAGGCUUUGAUGCUGCGUCGUCAGGCGUAGAGUAGCCGUCGUUGAAAUACGACCCUUUUGUUAUCUGAGGUCUAAUCCCGUUAGGGAGACAUUGCAUGGUGGGUAGUUUGACUGGGGUGGUCGCCUCCAAAAGUGUAACGGAGGCUUCUCAAGGUACCCUCAAGGCGUUUGGUAAUCGUCUGCAGAGUGCAAUGGCAUAAGGGUGCUUGACUGUGAGACCGACACGUCGAUCAGGUUGGAAACAAGAGCAUAGUGAUCCGGUGGUUCCGCAUGGAAGGGCCAUCGCU